GACGAACCGAGCGACCGUUGUUCGGAAUCACUGGGCUUAAAGGGCGCGUAGGCGGGCUGUCAAGUCUGGGGUGAAAUCCCGCGGCUCAACCGUGGAACUGCCUCAGAUACUGACGGCCUCGAGGGAGAUAGGGGCGAGCGGAACUAAUGGUGGAGCGGUGAAAUGCGUGGAUAUCAUUAGGAACUCCGGUGGCGAAGGCGGCUCGCUGGAUCUUUUCUGACGCUGAGGCGCGAAAGCUAGGGGAGCAAACGGG
rnacentral:rRNA from 1 species